rnacentral:rRNA from 1 species
UACGUAGGUGGCAAGCGUUGUCCGGAUUUACUGGGCGUAAAGAGCGCGCAGGCGGUCGAUCAAGUCGCGUGUGAAAGCCCCCGGCUCAACUGGGGAGGGUCACGCGAUACUGAUCGACUCGAAGGCAGGAGAGGGUAGUGGAAUUCCCGGUGUAGUGGUGAAAAUGCGUAGAUAUCGGGAGGAACACCAGUGGCGAAGGCGACUACCUGGCCUGUUCUUGACGCUGAGGCGCGAAAGCUAGGGGAGCAAACGGG